AUUCUCUAGUGAGAGUUGUGUAAGUGAUCCUUUGACCUGAGAUCGUUAUGGUACCUUGUGUAUAUAGAUCCAUAUUUUGGUUCACUUCCUAACUUGGUUCUUUGAUCCUUGUGUGGGGUGUUCUGGAUAUGGUGAAAUAUGUAAGAAGGUUGUGAGUGAACAAUAAGAGAUCAGUCACUCCUAAUAAGGAGAGUAAACAUCCUAUGUAAUCUCACAGAUCGAUGAUUCAGAAGUCUUUGACCAAAGCAGGAUAAUAAUUAGAAAAGAAUUUUUAAUGUAUCAUCAACUGAAUCAUCACC
rnacentral:lncRNA from 1 species